rnacentral:rRNA from 1 species
GCUCAGCCAUAAACAGCGACCUUACACCCACAAUAAGGUCCGCCAGAGAACUACAAGCGAAAAGCUAGAAACCCAAAGGACUUGGCGGUGCUUCAAACCAACCUAGAGGAGCCUGUCCUAUAAUCGAUACUCCCCGUUCUACCCCACCACUUUUAGUCAAUCAGCCUAUAUACCGCCGUCGUCAGCCUACCUUGUGAAAGAAACACAGUAGGCAAAAUAGUUAACAACUAACACGUCAGGUCAAGGUGUAGCACAUGAAGUGGAAGAGAUGGGCUACAUUUUUCCCACAAACACACGAACAACGUGUUGAAACACAGGUUUAAAGGUGGAUUUAGUAGUAAUAUAGAUAAGUAAAUUUAUAUAAAACCCGCUCUGAAGCGCGC